AACGAACGCUGGCGGCGUGCCUAACACAUGCAAGUCGUGCGAGAAAGUUCCUUCGGGAGCGAGUAAAGCGGCGCACGGGUGAGUAACACGUAGGUAACCUGCCCCCCAGUCUGGAACAACUAGAGGAAACUCUAGCUAAUGCCGGAUGAGACCACGAUCCCUUCGGGGGUUGCGGCCAAAGAUGGCCUCUACUUGUAAGCUAUCGCUGAGGGAUGGGCCUGCGGGCCAUUAGCUUGUUGGUGAGGUAACGGCUCACCAAGGCUGUGAUGGCUAGCUGGUCUGAGAGGAUGACCAGCCACACUGGGACUGAGACACGGCCCAGACUCCUACGGGAGGCAGCAGUGGGGAAUAUUGCGCAAUGGGCGAAAGCCUGACGCAGCGACGCCGCGUGGAUGAUGAAGGCC
rnacentral:rRNA from 1 species